UUUAAUCAAACUAAUUAAUGGUUAAUUACAUUUUAACAAUUAAUUAGAGUUAAAUUUAAUUAGAUUUGUAAGUUAUGUGUUUUUUAAAAAAACAAAGAAGAAUAAAUAAACAAAAAGGGGUAAAGCUAAGAGUUGGUUAUGGCCCAACAGGCGCUGACCCAGUUGAUCGAGAAAACAAAUCCAUCAGAGGGUCCAAGAUAUGAGGGUGCACGGUAAAUAGAAAGAAGCACGCAUGAGAUCCAUCUGACCAUGACCGACCGUGAGUGGAUCGGAGGGAUAAAUGAUAGAGGUUGGACCACCUCUGUUUGCCACAUGUCAGCAGAUGGAAUGAAGACCGGGUGGGGAAUCAUUGCUGAGGGAAUCUCACGAAGCCACUCAACCUCAUAAAUUAACUCAACCCACUUUCCACACAACCUUACAACAAACAAACUCAAAGGCCGCUCUCUCUUGCCUAUGAACAAACAAAGAUCCAACAACAUGAACCCAGAAAAAAAGAUCAAACGCGGCGGAGGACAAGAACUCUCAUGGCGGUGCUUAUGAGUCUCACGGUAACGCCACAGUGAGACACCUAGAAUCCAUCCCCGCUUCUUACCCUACCUAAACCCAAAUCCAUCAUCUAUUUCAGCAGAAUCACAACCAAAAAUCACAAAUCUCAAAUCAGAAACAAAAAACCUUGAAACUUCAAAGUAAAAUUAAAUCUUAAAUAUCAACAAUUUCAAACAAUUAGUGGAGGGUUUUUUCUCAGUUGAACAACAAACACGAAGGUUUGAAAGUCUUAGACAAAAGGAAAGAAAAUUUACUUGACCGGAACUAGUCUGACGAUGACGUCUUCUCCGACGAGGUUCAGAUAAGUCUUCUAUCUACUUUCUUGGCCUUCUUCUUGCUUAUGCAUAUGUGUGAUGAUUGUAAUGAUGUUAUUAUGAUGAGCGGCCUUAGCUCGGGCCUAAGCUUAGAGCUUUGAUUUGAAGCUCCAAUUGGUCUUUGUUAGAGAGCUCUUGGUGAGUUUUUUUGAGGGAUUUUUGCACAACAUUUGGUGUAAUUAGGGUCUUCUUAAAAUGAGUGAGAGAGGUAUUGUUAUAUAGAAGACUUGUGAGUGUGUGUCAUUUGUGUGAAUUGAAUUGUGUGAAGGAGAAAACCGUUACACACAAUUUCCAAAUCCCUGAUUUCACGGGAUUUCAGAGUGUGAUGUGAAUUUGUUGUGUGAAUCAAACAUGUAUUGAGAGUUAUUUCAUGUGACUGUUUUGAUUUGUGUGGUGAGGUGCGUGUGGAAAAUUGAGCUAUAUUGAUGUAAUAAUUUCACAUAUAUAUAUAUAUAUAUA
rnacentral:lncRNA from 1 species